AAUGGGGCAGUACAGACCAUCCAGCAUACAAGUAUCAGACACACAGAGCAUGGGACCCAUGGAACAAGCAGGCCAAGAUGCAAUGACCAUUUCCAAGACAUAUGCAAGGUGCACUGAGCAGUAUGAAUUCAAGUUUCACCCUAAUUAUAUUUAACAGUUGGUAGCCUGUAUCUUCAUCAUCCUGUACCUGAGCCUGGAUUCAGUGAAGCAUUGUCAUGUGCCUCAACCUGAAUUAGGGGCAUAUGUGAAGACAAGUAUCCUGACAUUUUUUUAAACAUUGAUUACAAGCUACAGUGUAAUGGUGGGGUCUUCAUUUAUCUCAUCCUACAGUCAAGUGCAUAUUUGAAGCAACACAGAGUUCUAUGAAUUCUUCAGCAUCUGGAGUCCGAAGCAACAAGCAGUAUAUAGUAAGCAAGCUGUGCUGACUGCCCGUUUCCAUCUCUGAAGAAGGAGGGAGUACUGAAUGAAAGCGGAAUGCCAGGCUACGCGGUAUCCAACGGCUUUGCUCCUCUAACGGUUAUGCGUUGAAUAAGCACAAAUAAAAACGUGGAUAUGUAUGAGACAGUUUGGGUAAGAAGAAAAGAAUCAUAAAAAAUCCCGUGAUUAAUUAAGUUAAGAAGCACAGACGGCUUAGGGAGUCUUUUAAUUUGGAAAUUGUUCUACUCUACAAGGCCAAGCUAGAGAAAGAAGCCAAGCCCCUGUGUUCUACACAGGUUCUGACAAAUGUUCAAUGUACAGUAUGCAGAUGAUUUAAAGAAUUUUCCUACACAUUGAUCUGAGGGUCAAGAACUAAAAAGUAAUACCUCAUAGUACCAAUGAUCCACACCGUGUGAUAUUUUGAACAAAUAUGCUUUUCAACAUAAUACAGUAAGUAGCAUAAGAACUCCGAAUGUUGUAUCAGGCUAGCUUCCUGUACAGAUGUAGGCAAAACUUUCAGACUUCAAUUUAUACAUAAAUUGGCUGACUUCAAUUGCACUUGUAUGCAUUUGUAUUUAUUUUUAACCUUGAUUUUUGAUGGAGUGUGUAUACACGUUUGUGCAAGUGUGUGUAUGUCUGUGGGUUGAAGCCAGACUGCUAACCUAAGUGUCUUCCUCAAUAAUUCUCAACUUCAUAUUUCCAUAGAAGUUCAUUCACUGAACCCAGAGCCCCGUGAUUCAACUAGAUUUAACUGGGGAGCAAUCACUAACGGAAUCCUGUGUCAGUCUGAAUAGCACUCAAAUUCAGGUAUGCAUUAAAUGUCAUGCCUGGCAUGCUUCCUGGGUACUGGGGAUCUGAGCUCAGUCUACAGGCUUUGCAGCAAGUAUUGCGCACACUGAGCAAUUUCCUAGCCCCUGUGCAAAUGUUCUGAUAUUAGUUGUUUUAUAAUUAUAUUGACAUGUCAUGAGUUGAAUUGUCUCAAUGCUUCUCUGUUUCAAAAGAAAAAAGUAGUGUUUAAAGAAAACAUGUAUCCUUUCACUUCAAAAUUUAAUUUGUUAAUUUUAAAAAUCUGAAAUAUCUAGAAUCCAAAUUUAACAAUGUAUUCUAAAAAAAACAAAUUUCCUAAAAUGUCUACUUAAAAAAAAAAACCAAAGGAGGAAACAUAACUUAGAGAAUAUAAAAUGACAACUUAAAAUCCAAUAAAUUAUUUUACUAAAAUUAAUUCAAUCAUUAUAAAUAUAUCAUAUAUAAAUAUUGAUUCUUUCUUAUAUGGUGCUAAGAUUUGGAAAAAUCAGUUUUUUUUAUGAAUCACGUGUUGAUAUUACUUCCUGGAGGUUUACUGCUCCAAACUGUUUUAUCAUCUUGAAGAAUAAGCAGAAUGAUAGACAUAAAUAUUUAUUUAGUACCUAGUUAAUAUUAAACAUGUGUUUUACAAUAUGAGUGAUCAUAUUUAAUUUUAAUCGCUGUAUCCACCAUAAAAAUGUUGAUAGAUUCUACAAGAAAACAGAAAAGUAAGUCAAAAACAAGAAAGCACUUCUGCAUGGAUGGAGGAGCUGUGGUUUUGUUUUGGUUUGGUUUUUUUAAAGCAGGAAUCAUGGGAAUAGAAGGUCAAUGUAAACAAUCUGUCUACAGAGUGUAACUGUUGAAAUGAAUUAUAUCCACUGACCUACACAGAAUUACCCACUUAGAGACAACACUUAACUGCACUAUCAACCUUCAAAGACGUCUGUACCAUACUCAUAUGAAUGUAAGAGAAAGACAGUUUACUAUAACAUGUUCAGAUCACAUUUAAAAAUAACAAGCUGCAUGCAUAUACAUGAUCAAAAUAGAAAUCAAUACUUCCCCUAAACCCUUGCAUUAGGCCAUAAGUAAUCCCUAAAACUCCUUUACAUUUUAUAUCUUUGGAAGAAUAGCCAUGUAUACACAUUUCAUCCUAGCAAGGACUGCUAUAUCAUCUCAAUAGAGAAUGUGUUACUCUCUCAGCAGGAAAAAUACCUGUUCAGAAUAAGCAGAAUCAAUAAAAUAUAUACAAAAAUUAUAAUCUGCUUAUACUUGAGUCAUGUGGAUAUUUAUAAUUGAAAAUAAAUUGCAGGUUUAUACAAUGAAAGGUUAGCAAUGACCGUGUCUGAUUGGUAAAUUAUAGGUAAUUAAAAAUAUAAAUGAAACUUGUUCUAUUUUCAGUCAACAAUUAUGUAACGAGUCCUCACCAUAUCCAAAGUAUAGUUUUGGUAUGGUGUUUUAAGAAGAAUUUUUACAGUACGAUUUUCUCAUUAAAUUUGGUGGAAGGAGCAUAGUUAAAUUUUGGUUUUAAAGAGAGAAACUUGAAGACUAAAAACUGCCAACAAUGGAAAAUUAUCUCAUGAAGUUUGCAUCUAAAGGCUUUGUGGUGGGUAACUUUUUGUUCCCUAAACAAAAUUUCUUUGGAUGCACAAACUUUCAAACAAAAAACUCCAUGAAAUCCUGGGCAGAGAAGGAGGGCACAGUCCUGGGAUCACAUGUAGGAGGUUCAUGCCUUGAGGGCAAUUAUAGAACCAGGUCCAAUGGCACAGCAGCUGAGCCCAAGCCUGCAAGACUGCAAGUCACUGAGUCUGAGCUGUGUAGCUCUGGAAGCAGAAAUUCUAAGCAGGGCAGAUGUAUCAUCCUCCUAAAAGCCGGAGCCUGAACUGCCGUAAGUGUUUGUCUCAUCCCCAGUUCUUCACAAUUCUCAAGGGGUUCAGAAACCACUGAGUCCUUUCUGUUUGCCUGUUUAGUUUGUUAGUUUAUUAGUAGUAUAUUAGACAUUUUAGGAAAAAAUAUACAACACAAUUUAUAUAAUUUUCCCUAAAAGAAAUAAAACACCAGGUGUUAUAUUCUUGAGAGUCUACUCUCUCCUUACUGUUUUUACAAACUAGAGAUUUGGGACUUGCCGUUUACAGGUUGAAAAAUAAGGUUUCCCUCGCCCUGCAAGUGAAUGUGUUGUUUCAAGUACAAUCAGUUUAUAAGUGCUGUACACUUAAUACAGAAAAAAAAAAUCCAAAAACGAAUGAAGUUCGUUCUGUAACCUAAUUAAGUUUAAGGAUCCAUUUUCUUGAGGGGGACAGAAUAGCACAAGUACAGAAUGGAGCAUGAGUGCCACAGUGCGUAAUAGCUCAAACUAAAGGCAUGACAAUAAGCUUGUUUUCCAUUAUUGCAGAACCAAUAAAUAAGUAUAAUGAAAAUCACGACACAUUAUUACAUUACUCUGCAUUGCCUCUAUUCAUUUAAAAAAAAAACAAGAUGAGUGCAUUUAAAAUACUUCCACAUGUCAAAUGACAGUAAGCUUUGCAAUUGAGAGGAUGCUGAGAGGAAUAUUUUAAAGAGCAGAUGCCUAGUCUUAUGAGGCUUAUAUCAAGAUUAUGGUAGGAGAACAAGAUAUGUAAGCAAUAACUACUUCACACUAAGGUGGUGGUAGCAUGGCAUCCGAACAUUUAUGUCUUUCAUUUGCACUGUGUUUUCUUGAUAUUAUGCAGUCAAUAAAAACCAAAUUAAAAAAAAGCUUUAGCGAAAGCUUCCAUGUCAAUUAGCCCUUGGAUAGAAUCUCCUGUUUCCCUGUGAUUUAAUAUACUGGGAUUAUAUUAACAGCGCGGGCUUGUAAAUAAGGAAUAUCUGGAUCCGAUUAAUGGGAAUAGACUGCCAAAACAAUCAGCCUCUAACUUAACAAGUUUCUAAGUAUUUAGAAAAGCUGUGAAAUAGGAUUACAAGGUUAAACUGUGUACAUCUGGCUAGCCACUAUAUAAAUAUUUCAGAAAUGUGAUCUCAUGGGCUGAAGAAACACCUGUCUAAUCAUGAGUCUUUUCCAAGAUACAUGAACUUCACUGAGCAGAGGAGUGUAUGAAUGUUGACAAGAAAUCUUCAUCAAUUUGCAUAAUUUACUUCUUAUGCUAGGCACAUAAUUUCGUCAUGUUCCUCUCUUCUAAGUGAACAUACAAAAGCAUUCUGGAAUGACUCUCUGCCACCACGCAUCUGUUGACAAAAAGUGCCCAAUUCUUUUCCAUGGACUGUAGCACGCAAUUGAACUGCAGUUAGAUAUUUGAAGCAUAAAUUUAGGAUGCCAUGGAGGCUGCGAAUAAUUAACGAGAAGCAGAGGCCUGUCAUAAAGUAGCAGUCACAACUUGGGCAGUGCUCCUAGUUUAUAGAAACCUUAAUGAUGUAGAAAAUCAGAUGUUCUUCACCAGACUCAAAAUUGAACCACUGUGUUGACUCUUUGUCAAGUACACACCACCCCGUUAAGCUCGAUGUUAGUUUAGAUUUUUAAGAAAGGAGUAAUUAGGUUGGACAUGUGCAGUGUAGGGCACUCACCAAAUUAUCUUAAAACACUCAGUGUGAAAACACCAGCUUUGACUCUCUAGUCAAAAAAUGGAAGCUAAAGGUCAUGGGCUCAAAUUUCUAAUGACAUUUCCUGAGAGGAGAUGGGCGAAAUGGACGCUAAAGAUUGGAUGGUCAAUGCUUUCAUGCACUAUGUUUCAUGUUUUAUGUACCUUAAUUUCCUAACGAGAUGAUGGAUUAUUGCAAUUAACCAAGUGAAAUGAUACCCCACUUCCCUAACCGGCAUAUUUCCAGGGGACACCAAACCAGUGGUCCUUUCCUUCUCCCACCCUCUCAGCAUGCUAUUCUCCGUCCUGAAAUUCUCAACCAAGACUACAAUAUUUCUAAAUAAUGUAUAACUCCUUGGAAAUUUCAUUUUUGCUGUAGUGUGAUGAAUAUUUAACACAAACAACCAAACUUAUGCAUCCUAAAUUUCAAUGGGAAAUUUCAAGUAAAAGAAAAUACAUAAUUUUUUUUGCCUAAAUUUAAAAUGAAGUUCCUUUGGUUGCACAAUAAGUGAAAAUGCUGGGCUGGUUGCAAGAUGCAUAGCUGUAAACAGAAAAGUUUACUAAAAACCAAAAGUGAAUAAAAUUUUCAUUUUUAGAUGUGACAGGUGAGAGAGGGUGUCUUCACUGUAUCUUUUAGUGUACAUGCCUGCCAGAAAGAUAGAAAGGACUCAUAUUGUAAGGCUUCUUUUUCAUUUCGUUCAUAUAAAUUAAUCAACCUUUGUAUUUUUAAAAUAUAUAUAUUCAUUUCUAGAAUUUAAAAGAACAGAGGGAUUGUUUAUUUUAACUAAUAGUCCAAAUUUUCUUGUCUACUUAAGUGCAAUUUCAAAAAGAAAUACAUGAAACUAUUUAAUGCAAUCAAUAAAUAUCUCUCUCUACACUGAAUUACCAACUAUGUCAAUCCGAGAUAUAAACAUAAUUCAGUUAAUUUGCCAAUAAAUACUACCAAGGUUUGUCACCACAUAUAUCUGAUUUUUAAGUAGAAACCAUUCCUGCAGAUGUAAAUACACAAGGAACUUUAAUAUAUACGUUAACACAUAUUUGCCACUGGAAAUUCACAGACAAAAAGACCAACAUGGCAAAAAUGAAAGCAUUUCUGAGAGUUCAGGAUAAGGUGAAAGCAAUGCUUCCUUACAUCUAUCUCAUUAUUCUCUACUUUUGUUCAUGGUGUUAGAGAUUGGACUCCAGGCCUUGGACACAGUAGGAACCUGCUGUACCAUUGAAGGACAUGUCUAAAUAUUGGCUACCUGAGACAAAGUCUGACUGUAUAAUUCAACCUGGCCUACAUCUCAAGCUCUGCUUGCCUGUGACUUCAAAGUACUAAGACCACAGGUGUGUUCCUUUACAGUGAUUAGAAAGACGCUUGAAAAACCUUUCACUGUUGUUAAGCAGAUGAGAAAAGUUAAGUUGGAGAUCUUGUGAAAUGAUGCACAAAUGCUUGAAAGCUUGCACUCUUGCAAAAUCUUCAAGACUCUCAACAUCAUUUGGGAUCUUCCAAUAUAGAAGAUGCUUUGUCAAUGGUCUUUAAAAAAAAAAAAGCAUACACGUAUAUGUAAAAUGUCUCAAGGAAAAGGCAGAGAGGAGAGAAAUGAGUAAAACAUGCACAGUUUAUGACAGGCCCCGGGUGUGGUUAGUAAUGUUUGAUAGAAUAUCUGCUUCAAUGCCCUUCAAACAAAGAAAGCUGCCAAACAGGCAGUUACCACAUCUACCAUAUCUACAUCCUCUGCAUUCAGCAGAAUGGCUGUCAGUGGGCCUUUCUUCCAAAUCUCCAAUGUUACAAAAUGAAAUUAUAGACUUGAAGCACAAUGUUUAUGAUGAGUGUGAACGUAAACGUCAGCAGCGAGAGUUUACUGUCUGCAGGCUCACCUCACUCAGUAUUGAACACCACUAAAUUGAAUCUUUCAAGAAGUGUCUGUGUUCUCCAUAAAAUGUCGAGAAAUCAUAAACAUUUAAAAAUUCUAAUUUAUGCUCCUUUUUAUAUUAUUCCUUUCCUUUAUAGCCUACAUGCUCUGGUUAAGCAGAACUACGUGACAGCUUUUUUUUCCCCCUUAGACGUGAUACUAUUCUACCACCAAAAUAUCCCCUCAUUCCUUGAAUUAAUUUUUAAUAUGAUUUGAAAAUUUAAUUUUCUUGCAACUUUUAUUCUUUCAAGUCCCUUUAUCCUUAGAUGUGAAUGAACCUUGCAGAUAGAACUCAGAUGGAGAGCACCUAAGUUUUAAAACAGCAUAAAAGUAAACAAUUUAAUUUAAUAUUAACAGUAUUUUACUAUGUAUUCAUUGGACUCAUGAUUAUGAAUCAAAACCAUAGAUUUUGACUAUAAGUUAAAUAACAGUAGGAAAAUAGGGAGUAUGAUAGCCCUCAAAAUAAUUUUUUUUUUUAGUAUAGGCACAAGAAUUAGAUUAGCACCUACAUAGUCAAAACAGAUUUUGAAUUUUGUGAACAAAUGUGUGUGUGUUUAUUCUUUAUAUAUCUGAUAAUGGCAGUGUAAUUUUCUGUUGAUAUUAUCACAUGACCAAAAGCAUGUACAAAUGUAAUAAGCCUUAAAACUAUACCUCAACAAAUAGAACCAGAUAUUUAUGAUUCAACCAUUAUUUCAUCUUAUUAAAAAUUACUUAAGGAAGUAUUUGCAUCUAAGUGCCUCAAAACAUAAACAAAAUGAUUGUGGCAAAUUAUUGAUUUCUUAGAAUUGGAUGAGAUAGCUUUAUAAAAUGUAUAUGACAACUGAGUGACAUAAUUGUAAUGCUGUGUAAGUCACAGCAAAGAAUAAAAAGAAUUUAAAUAAAUGACAA